rnacentral:rRNA from 1 species
AGUGAACGCUGGCGGUAGGCCUAACACAUGCAAGUCGAACGGCAGCACAGGAGAGCUUGCUCUCUGGGUGGCGAGUGGCGGACGGGUGAGGAAUACAUCGGAAUCUACUCUGUCGUGGGGGAUAACGUAGGGAAACUUACGCUAAUACCGCAUACGACCUACGGGUGAAAGCAGGGGACCUUCGGGCCUUGCGCGAUUGAAUGAGCCGAUGUCGGAUUAGCUAGUUGGCGGGGUAAAGGCCCACCAAGGCGACGAUCCGUAGCUGGUCUGAGAGGAUGAUCAGCACCACUGGAACUGAGACACGGUCCAGACUCCUACGGGAGGCAGCAGUGGGGAAUAUUGGACAAUGGGCGCAAGCCUGAUCCAGCCAUACCGCGUGGGUGAAGAAGGCCUUCGGGUUGUAAAGCCCUUUUGUUGGGAAAGAAAUCCAGCUGGCUAAUACCCGGUUGGGAUGACGGUACCCAAAGAGUAAGCACCGGCUAACUUCGUGCCAGCCGCCGCCGUAA